CUCAUUGAGCACACUAUGUCCAGGGUGAUGUGGCUGUAGAUCUCACCUGUCCACAGGUAGAGUGCUGGGCUCGGCUUGAUCUGUCGGAAUGUGCUCUUACCUUUCUCAGAAAAACUGUAUCUUGGGCCCCAGAUAGUGAACACCCCCUCCUGAAGAUUUAGGAUUUCAUGUGCAUGUGAGUGAACCCUGGGUGCAGCCUCUCUGUGCUG